UCGGAAGCGAGCGGUGAGAUAUUAAGGCAAUGACAUAUACCAAAGGUGUAUUACUGGUUGCCUGUAGGUUAGAAAUUUUAAAUUUAAUAUUUGAUUUUCUUGAAAAUACUUAUGAAAAUAUCAAAGAAUUUAAAGAAAAUUACUUCGCAACAAUAUUAUAUAACAUUCUGUACGAAAAUUAGUUAUAAAAUCAAGUUUAAUGGGUAUUUUUAUGAUAAUAACGGCCAAUUGCAUUAUUUUGACGGUUCGGUUUUAAAUGGAAUGUGUUCAAAGAAAAGUGAAAAAUGCUCUGAAUUCAUUAUAUUUUCCUACUAAAUUUGUCUCUCAAGUGUUUUAAACUCACCCAGAAUGGAAAUCUACACAGUACAAGGCACUGAAAGUGGAAUAAGUGAUUUGAAACAUGUUGAUAUUGACCGUUUAAGAACACACUGAUAUAUCUAAGAAUUGAGACCAUAUUCAUAGUUUUUAAGAAACUAUAAUAAAUAUGCCUAUCAGGUCGAUGCUUCUACACAUCUAAUCAAAUCAAUACAAAAAGAUACAAAAAAACUUAUGGAGUCUUCUAUUCAACCAAACAUCAAAUGCCAAGAAUAUUAUUUCAUCACCAGAUAAAAGGGGAGAAACUAAAUUUUAGCAACAAUAUAUCUUAAUAUGAAACAAUGAAACUUAAUACUGUCCAAAAGCAGACCUGUAUCGACUAAAUAUAUGCUGUAAAUAUGACUUGUACCAUAUGAUCGAGAAAAACGGCG